CAACAGACAAGAUACAACAGGUAAAUAUUAUGAAAACUUGUAACAUGAAGAAUGAGUGUGACUUCCCUUGGCAAACGGGAUACCUAAAAACAUUGUAUUAUACUGGAACGUAACAAAUCCUUAUAAAAAUAAUGCAAUGCACACAAGGCAACUAGAUGUGUAGUGGAACGAGGCAUAGGACAGAUGAAAAGAAGAUUUCACGUUCUUCAUGGUGAAAUUCGUCUCAAACCCCAAAAGGCGGCAAAGGUUAUAACAGUUUGUGCUAUGCUGCACAACAUCUGCAAAGGCAGAAACAUUGGCCUGCCUCCAGGGAAUCCUCCACUACCAGGCAACAAUGGCUUCAACUUGCCAAUCGUCCAACCAGCUGGGAAUGGUCUCCGAUACCGACAGCAGUUU